rnacentral:misc_RNA from 1 species
CUGGAUUGAAAAUUUUGCAUUCAAAUGGGAACUGAAGAUUGUAGGCUGUUCCUGUAAUUUUGGGGAAGCUAAUAUAUAUAAAAUAUAAUAAAAUAUAAAAGGGAUCGACACAUUGAUGACAUGACAUACCAUCUUGGCAGUUAUUUUAGACCUGAAUGCACAGACAAGUGGCAACAUCUAAACCAAUCAGUUCCUACUUUUUUGGAGACAAACUUAUUAGCCAUUUAUAACCUCAAAAAAAAGACAACAAAAAACUCUGCCUGGCUUCUAGCUUGCCUUGGUUGAUCCCAUCAGAGGUCACUGACGUUGCUGCUGCGGUCUCUUUUGCACAUUUGCAUCGUUAACAUAUUUUCUGGAUUUUGGUAUAACCCUAUCCAAUACUGAAAUUGCAGCUUCUUUUUUCUUAAUUUGAAUUUCACCUUUUUCUUUUUCCUCUUUAAUUCUAAUCUUAGUUUCCAGCUGUUGGACAUUGAAGAUGUUUGCAGGUCUGUGAAUAAGAAUUGGAAACUAGUCAGCUGUUGUGCCAAUAUUGUUCUAUCGUGAUUCAAGCGAAUCACAUAAAUGAUGGACGAUUAUAUCACACACACACAAAAUAUUAUGAAUAUUGAUUCAAAUUUUUGAUAAUGUCUUGUAAAUGCAUGAUCCAUUGGAUAGUCUAGAUCAAUGCAUUUCAAGAAAACAGGACAAUUUUACAAGAACCUGAGACAAAAUUUGAGGGGGUGGGGGUGGGGUGGUUGUGAGGGGGCAAUCUGAGAUGUAUUCAGUUCAAUGGAAUAAUUUUGUUGACAGAAAUAAAAUUCUGCUUCAGGCAACAAAGAAUCCUAAGGAAAUGACGAGCAUGAUGAGAAGCAAUACAUGUGGAUGGGCAGCAAAUUUAUUGUUGAUGGUGGAGCUCCGAAAAAGGAUACUAACCUUUAGAGAUGUCAUUGACCUACCUCCUUGUGACGGUUCUGGUCCCAUCCAUGAGGUACUCAUCUAUUUACUUACAGUGACAUCAUGGAUGUUUUUAAUCCAAUCAUUUAUUCUUGAAAACUUCCUAUUCUGAAUCUUAUGGUAGUUGGUGAUGGACACGGUUGAAGAUCUCUACCACUUAUACCCCAAAGUUGUAAAUGGUAACUUGACCAGAGAAACAGAAGAUGUCUCCUUGUAUCAGGUUCAUUUACCUUUAUGAUGCUUUGAAAGCCAUUGGAGAUUCAUGGGUGAAAAACCACAAGUGGAUAAGCACCUCAGGCUAUAAAACAAAUGACAGCAUGGAGGAUGGCACUUUGGAGCAACUUAGUAAGAUGUUUUCUCUUCUGCCAUAAAUGCUACAUAAACUGUAGUUUUAAUUCAGAGUGAUAAAUAUUUCUUAUUGAAGGUCAAAAAGUCCUUGCAAAGCUCAACAACAUAAUUGACAUUGCAAGGAAAAUGUUUGAUGUGAUGGAGGAAGACGAGAAGAACAAUGGUGGCAUUAUACAAGAUUCAACAACUGGGGAUUCUUUAAGAGAGUCUUACUCAAACAAGAAAAAUACCUGGCCUUCUCCAGAUACUCCGGCAGCAUUCUCUUCUGCAAUUUCUUUUCCUACGGAACUUGGUGAGUUUGCAAAUUCUACAUAUGCCUCACCUUUGCUGUUGCCUCUCAGACUUCAGGCAGUGGAGAAAUUGAGGCCAAUUGAAAUAAAAUACCUCCCAUUCAACUUGUUCCCUACAAAGUCUGCUCACUUUCAUAAUCAAAUGAAAGUAAUGGAUCAAAAAGUUGCUGAAACGAAGGUAGAAAAGGAAGAUGUUUUGCCAGCUAAAGUGAGUAACAUAGAGCCAAAAGAUUCCAAAAACUCUUACAAUUUUCCAAAUAUUCCGAGUUCUGAUUCCAACAUGAUGUCUGACGCAAAAGGAUCAGCAGCAGUAUCGAACCCACCUCCACUGGCAGUGUCCAGUCCAGCUCCAAUUAUGCUACCAGACAUCCAUUUGCCACCCGUCAAUCCACCUUCAAAUGGAACACCAGCACCUCCACUAGUACCACCUUCUGUGGGAUUGGCACGGGUGUCACCAAUUCCCAUGCCACCAGCAAAGGGAGCUACACCACCACCACCCCCUCCUCCACUUGGUGUGGCAAAGGCACCGCUCCCAAGGAAAAAUACCAAAUUAAAGAGAUCAAGCUACAUGGGAAACAUGUAUAGGCUUCUCAAAGAGAAGGUGGAAGGGUGUGGCUUACGUGUUAAACCUUCUGAAGGGAGAAAACCUAAAAUUGGAGGAGGACCUGCAGGGGGAAAACAGGGAAUGGCUGAUGCACUGGCAGAGAUGACAAAAAGGUAUGCUUCCAGCUUUUGCUGCUCGUAGAAUCCCAGACUAGAACACAACAAUUAUGGUGCUCUCUCACUUAGCACUUGGUUUUCUUCUAUGGGCAUCAUAGAUCGGCAUAUUUCCAACAGAUUGAAGAAGAUGUCAAGAAGCACGCAAAAUCAAUCAAGGAGAUCAAAGCUGCCAUUAAUUCCUUCCAAACCAAGGACAUGACUGAACUUGUUAAAUUUCACAAGUAUGUGGAGCAACAUUUGGAGAAAUUGACUGAUGAGACACAGGUGACUGAGACUUGAUAAUACUCAAUUGGCCGAUUACAUGUUCAUUUCUUUGCCUAUUUGAUUUAGACAAUGUUCAUUGCUUAGUUAUUGUGUUGUUGAUCCACAAAAAGGAAAGCAGGGGGAAGGAGCAGGGAAAUCUAUAAUCUCAAUCUCCUGAAUUCUUGGCAUGAAAAUGUUAGGACCCAGGCUCAUUAGGUUCAAACAAAAGUGCUUGGUAGCUGAGAAAGAGGAGGAAAAUGAGGCAAACAGAAAGAAAAAAGUGAAAGAGAAGAGAGAUGAAGGACAACUUCUUGAGAGAAGUGGACGUUUCUUGUUGUUGAUCAAGUGAUGAUUUACAACUCAUCUCCCUUUAUAUAUCAGCUAAUAUAACAAAGUAACCUGAAGCUGAUUAACUAACGUAGCAGCUGCUUAGUCGUUGUUUCCAUUCUCCAAUUCCUCACAGAAGAGAUGAAGGGAAAUACUCAUUCAGUUCCUUACAAUGCAGGUGCUGGCAAGAUUUGAAGGGUUUCCCACAAAGAAACUGGAAACAUUAAGAGCAGCAGCGGCACUACAUUUAAAACUGGAAGAAAUAACUACCCAACUGGAAAAGUGGAAAGUAAUGCCUCCUUUAGAUCAGCACCUUAGCAAGGUUGAAUCCUACUUUAACAAGGUAAGCUUUUCCAGACAUGUGAAAAGACAAAUUGGAAUUUUCCUGGCAACCCUGUUUGCCAUUGAUUAUGAGAAUUAUUUGCAAGCAGAUCAAGGGAGAAAU